UACGAAGGGAGCUAGCGUUGUUCGGAAUCACUGGGCGUAAAGCGCGCGUAGGCGGCUUUGCAAGUCAGGGGUGAAAUCCCACAGCUUAACUGUGGAACUGCCUUUGAAACUGCAAGGCUGGAAUGUGAGAUGGGAUGGCGGAAUUCCUAAUGUAGAGGUGAAAUUCGUAGAUAUUAGGAGGAACACCGGUGGCGAAAGCGGCCAUCUGGAUCACAAUUGACGCUGAAGUGCGAAAGCGUGGGUAGCAAACAGG
rnacentral:rRNA from 1 species